UAAUAUCGAUUGUCAUUAAUAUCGAAGAUAUCGAUUAAAUGAAGUCAUUUUCUAAAUACAAAACAGAACGGACGUAUCUUUUUCUGCUAUUAAUUUUGAAACAAAACAUAAUUUAAAUUUAAAAGAUUUUUCAAAUCGAAAUGAAAUUAUAUAGUUGAAUUCAAUUUUGAAUAAUCUGAAAAAUAAUCAAAGAAGUCAACACACUCAGUACCGAUCCUUUUAAUCAGAAGUCAAAAUGUGCAAUAUAUCCAAAUAAUAUGCAGAUAAAGAAAAAUCUAAAAAUGGAAGUAUUUACAGAGUGGCCACUUAUCCUGUCCGUUCUCGCUGUUCUAUUAUUAUUUAUUGAAGAUAGUGAUCUGCUAAAUUUCUGAAGAUAUUCUUCAAGACAAGAUAAUCCGAGAUAAUGGACGAUAGACCCAUCGAUGGAGUUUCGAAAAUUCAACUAAUUUCAAAAAAAGAAAUGAGUACAUUAACGUGAAGUGGACGGCAUUGGAUUAAACUGAUUCGACAUGUUGCAGCAAUAACACGGAGCCAAAAUAUUUGUGUUUCUAAAUUGAAAACAUACAGUUUAAAAUUAUAAAAAUAUAUGAUUUUUUAUAUAAAUAUAUUCACUAUAUAAAUGCUUUUUUAUUCAAAAAUAUGAUCAAAAACUUCUGACAUUUAUCAUAUAAGAUUCAUAUCUUGAAUGUAUU